rnacentral:misc_RNA from 1 species
GAUGAAGAACGCAGCGAAAUGCGAUACGUAAUGUGAAUUGCAGAAUUCAGUGAAUCAUCGAAUCUUUGAACGCAUAUUGCGCUCUCUGGUAUUCCGGAGAGCAUGCUUGUUUGAGUAUCAGUAAACACCUCAACUUCCAUAUCUUUUUUGAAAUGGGAGUUGGACUUGAGUGAUCCCAACGCUUUUCCUCACCGAAAAGUGGCGGGUUACUUGAAAUGCAGGUGCAGCUGGACUUUUCUCUGAGCUAUAAGCAUAUCUAUUUAGUCUGCCUAAAAAACAGAUUAUUACCUUUGCUGCAGCUAACAUAAAGGAGAUUAGUUCUUGUGCUGACUGAUGCAGGAUUCACAAAGACAGCUUCGGCCGACUUUGUAAACUCGAUCUCAAAUCAAGUAAGACUACCCGCUGACCUUAAGCAUAUCAAUAAGCGGAGA